rnacentral:rRNA from 1 species
UACGAGUGGUGCGAGCGUUAUUCGGAUUUAUUGGGCGUAAAGGGUGCGUAGGCGGCAUGCUAAGUCAACUGUUAAAAACCUCAGCCUAACUGUGGGCGUGCGGUCGAUACGGGCAUCACUGGAGUUCGGCAGGGGAGACUGGAAUUCCUGGUGUAGCGGUGAAAUGCGCAGAUAUCAGGAGGAACACCGGUGGCGAAGGCGGGUCUCUGGGCCGAUACUGACGCUGAGGAGCGAAAGCGUGGGGAGCAAACAGG